ACCUGACACCCAGGGCUCCUGGGAGAGAGGACAGAGAAUCUAAACCCACACCUUGAAUCAGAGCCUACACUGAGCAGAUGUGUCAUGGGGGCAGGGUAGGAGGAGGUGGGCUAACUUAGGAUACUCAAAAGGAAACCAUCAACCCAAAGCCUCACAACCACUCAGCAAAGAGGGAAAUUUGGAUUUGGAGUUGAGGAGGGGGUUCUGCUCUGAGAUGAAGAAGCAAGUCAGAAGCAAGGUGUUAGGGGAAGGAGAAAGGUGCGCGAUCUCAAAGCUCCAGCAAUAUUGGGAGGAUAAUGAGCAUGGCUUCCUCUCACUUGCACACCCCUCCUCUCUCCACAGCUUCUGUGACCGGGACUGCUGGUCUUGAGCCAACUCACCCACCAAGAUCAAGGAUCAAGGAGGACAGCAAGCAAUGAAAGUUUGCAGUGCCAGCCUCCUGCAGGGGUCCAAGACCCAAGGGCAAACCUACCCCUCCCUUCCUCAGCAGCUCCCUAAAGACCCAAGAGGGCGGGGAAUAGACUAGGUUGGAAGCUUGAUACCUCCCUGGUGAAUCCAGUGUGUGAGUCAUGAGGAUUGAAGCACUUUGAAAAAGAAACAGGGUCAUCACGAUGCCUAGAAGUGUGGCAGCUACUGAGGACUGGAGCCUGGGAAUUGCCUGCCAGGCUCCUGAAGAUGGUGGGCUGAAUUCCUGUCCCUGUGUGGACAUGCACCUGCUCCCCAUCCCGGUCCCAGCCUCAACGUCUCAGUGGUCAGCUAUAACAUCCCUGGCACCUGAACCCCAAAAGCCUUGGUGUCCAGAAGCCUCUUGCUUAAACGGUUGUUAAGCCCAUCCGGAAGCGGGCACUAAGGAAUGUAAUCUGAAAAAGGAGCAGACCUAGAAUAGAGAGAGGUGGCAUGGUGAGGUACCUGCAAUCAGGCCAAGGUGCCACCCUAGCAGGACCUUGAGGUCUUACCUUCCUUCCUCAGUUAGCUUGGCCUUUUAACCCAUGGAAAGCUAGGGCCACUGUCUAUUGAUACUGUAAAGUCAAACACUGUGUCCCUCCCUGAACCCUGAGAGAAGCUGACCACCCCAUAUCCUACUCAGAGAGGAGCUAGGAUUGUUUUGGCCUCGCGUGGGAGAGCUCUGCACUGUCCCCCCUACUAAGGGCCCAGCCCAUCACCAGCAUGGUAGAAGCCAAUACAAGACCGAGUCUAGAAGCAAGAAGCCUGGACAGCGCUUUGCCUCAGGGUGUAAGCACUGUUGGAAAGUUAGAGGAGGCACAGGGUCUCUGGCAGCCUCUGCGGCGUCUAGCAGACUGUUACACGAUGAACCGGGAGCAGACACCCAAGCGCGUUCCGCAGCAGAAAGGGAGCCCCGGGCUGACGCUCAUCCCAAGUUUGCUGCCCUCGCCAGAGGAGGAGGUCAGGGGCGAUCCUGGAGCUCCCGGGAGGGCUACCAGCCCCGGUCAGCCCCUCCCAGAGCCCAGCACUCUGCGGUCCCCGGCCACCGCCUCCGCGCACUGCCCGGAGACACCGGCCCCGAGCUAGGGGCGUCUCCCGCCGCGCCCGCGCCCCUCCCGGCUGCUGCGGUGCAGUCCGCUCCCGCCUGCCCCGGGGCCCGUGGGCCCGGCUGAUACCUGGUGGCCUGCGCGCCCGGAGCCGCUGCAGCGCCCAGCGUCGGCUCCAUCCUCGGUCUGGAGUCAGGCUCGCCGGGGGCCCGCGGGUGGUGGUGGCGGUGGCGGAGGCAUCCUCCUCCUCCUCCUCCCGCGCCCUGUUUCUCGGCCUCCCUCCUCCCGAGCCUCUUCCUCCGCCUCCGCGCGUCCCUCACGGGCCCCUCUCCAUGGCCCGGGGGCGCUAGCCCCGGGUGGCUCGCUCACCACAGUGUUGUCUUUUCCUGAGCAGAGAAAGAAAGAUGAGAGAGAGAGAGAGAGAGAGAGAGAGAGAGAGAGAGAGAGAGAGAGAGAGAGAACGUGGGCCAGAGGGGCGCAGGGUCAGGCACCGGGACCCCGAGCACUGCAGCCCCAGGCUCCGGAGGACAGCAGCAGCCACGGAGGCCGGAGCCUCACGGAGUACCCUCCUCGAGUCCCCGAGCCGAAAUCGGCGGUGGCCGCUUCAAUGCCGAGCUAGCCGGUGGCAGGCGCUGCGGUCCCGGCUCCACCCCCAGCGCCGCCCGCCCCCUCUCCGCCCGACCCCGUCAGCGCGCGCCCUCCCGCCCCCCGCGCAGCCCAGGCGGGGAGCGCUGGGACACCGCUACUAGCAGAGCCCCGAAGCCAACCCACCGGCCGGCCGAGGCAACCACGCCCACCCCAGAGUUGAGGGGGCCAGGCGGCUGGAGCACCGGUAUCUCUUGGCCUGUCCUCUCCCCUGCACCCCAGACUAACGAAGCAUGGCUCUAUCCACACAGCCAAAGCCUCUGGACACCCAAGUCUGGCUACAGAUCCAACCAGACUCUGGCUCCCUUUGCCCAGCCAGGGCAACCAAAGACUCCUAAAUCCAGAACUAAAGUCUAUAUUCCACUACAUACCCCUCCCCCCUGCUUCUCUUCCUUCACCCACAACUAAAGAAAUGUUUCACUUGCCAGA